rnacentral:rRNA from 1 species
AGCCAACCAACUAGCCUUACCUUAAAAACAACAACACAACAUUAACUAACCCCUAAAAACACAAACUCUUCAAACAAACCAUUUUUCCCCCUGAGUAUGGGCGACAGAAAAGGAACCACCAAAGCAAUAGAAAAAGUACCGCAAGGGAAAGUUGAAAAAGAAAUGAAACAAACCAGUUUUAGCUCAAAAAAGCAGGGAUAUUCCCCCGUACCUUUUGCAUCAUGAUUUAGCCAGCAUUCCUCAAGCAAAAAGUACUUUAGUUUGAAACCCCGAAACUACGGUGAGCUACUUCAAGCCAGCCUAUCCAUAGGGCCAACCCGUCUCUGUUGCAAAAGAGUGGGAAGAGCUUCAAGUAGAGGUGACAAAUCUACCGGACCUAGUUAUAGCUGGUUGCCUGAAAAAUGAAUUUAAGUUCAGCCUUUAUGCUUCUCCCACCCCCAAAACCCCCCGCAUACAAUAUUUUAACCCUGGCACCCCUGCCAACACAGAACCCACAACAGAAGCCUAAAGAGUUAGUCAAAGGGGGUACAGCUCCUUUGAAACAAGACACAACUUUUCCAGGCGGAUAAAGAUCAUAUACACUUAGGGCCUAGCCAAUGUGGGCUUAAAAGCAGCCACCCUAUAAUUAACGCGUUAUAGCCAAAGCAAAACACCACCCUUAAAUUUCGAUACCCCGAUCUAACUCCCCUCGACCCCCAACCCAUCAGGCCACUCCAUGCCCCCAUGGAAGUGACCAUGCUAAUAUGAGUAAUAAGAGAGCACCGCCUCUCUCCCCGCACACACAUAACUCGAAAUGAACCCCCACCGAAACUCAACGGCCCCAAACAAAGAGGGGACUUGGGCACCAAACAGCAACCUAGAAAACUCCCAAACAUUUAACCCGUUAACCCCACACUGGUGUGCCCCUAGGGAAAGACUAAAAAAAGAAGAAGGAACUCGGCAAACAACAAUGAGCCUCGCCUGUUUACCAAAAACAUCGCCUCUUGCCAGAACAAAAUAAGAGGUCCCGUCUGCCCCGUGACUAUAUGUUUAACGGCCGCGGUAUCUUAACCGUGCGAAGGUAGCGUAAUCAUUUGUCUUUUAAUUGAGGACCCGUAUGAAUGACAAAACGAGGGCUCAACUGUCUCCUUCUUUUAGUCAAUGAAAUUGAUUUCCCCGUGCAGAAGCGGGGAUAAGCACAUAAGACGAGAAGACCCUAUGAAGCUUUAGACACCCGGACAUCUCCUGUUAAAACCCCCCAAUUAAAGGACUAAAACCUAUCGACCCAUGUCCCCGUCUUAGGUUGGGGCGACCCUGGGGAACAAAAAUCCCCCACGUGGAAUAGUAGCCUAGCUACCCACAACCAAGAGCCACAGCUCUAAAAACCAGAAUCUCUGACCAUAAAUGACCCGGCAAUGCCGAUCAACGAACCAAGUUACUCUAGGGAUAACAGCGCAAUCCCCUUUUUAGAGGCCGCAUCAACAAGGGGGUUUACGACCUCGAUGUUGGAUCAGGACAUCCUAAUGGUGCAGCCGCUAUUAAGGGUUCGUUUGUUCAACGAUUAAAGUCCUACGUGAUCUGAGUUCAGACCGGAGCAAUCCAGGUCAGUUUCUAUCUAUGCUCUGUUCUUUUCUAGUACGAGAGGACCGAAAAGAAGAGGCCCCUACCAAAAGCACGCCUCCCCCCCAACCAAGGAAAACAACUAAAAAGACAAGGGGACAUACCACUAUACUAAAGAUAAUAGUACAU